GACGAACGCUGGCGGCGUGCCUAAUACAUGCAAGUCGAGCGAAGUUUUUCUGGUGCUUGCACUAGAAAAACUUAGCGGCGAGCGGGUGAGUAACACGUAAAGAACCUGCCUCAUAGACUGGGACAACUAUUGGAAACGAUAGCUAAUACCGGAUAACAGUAUUUCUCGCAUGAGAGAUAUUUAAAAGUUGGUUAUGCUAACACUAUGAGAUGGCUUUGCGGUGCAUUAGCUAGUUGGUGGGGUAAAGGCCCACCAAGGCGACGAUGCAUAGCCGACCCGAGAGGGUGAUCGGCCACACUGGGACUGAGACACGGCCCAGACUCCUACGGGAGGCAGCAGUAGGGAAUCUUCCGCAAUGGGCGAAAGCCUGACGGAGCAACGCCGCGUGAGUGAAGAAGGAUUUCGGUUCGUAAAGCUCUGUUGUUAGGGAAGAAUGGAUAUGUAGUAACUAUACAUGUAAGAGACGGUACCUAACCAGAAAGCCACGGCUAACUACGUG
rnacentral:rRNA from 1 species